UCCCGCAACGAGCGCAACCCUUAUGGUCAGUUACUACGCAAGAGGACUCUGGCCAGACUGCCGUUGACAAAACGGAGGAAGGUGGGGAUGACGUCAGGUCAUCAUGGCCCUUACGGCCAGGGCUACACACGUGCUACAAUGGUCGGUACAAUAAGACGCAAGCCCGCGAGGGGGAGCAAAACUGGAAAACCGAUCUCAGUUCGGAUUGUAGGCUGAAACUCGCCUACAUGAAGCUGGAGUUGCUAGUAAUCGCGAAUCAGCAUG
rnacentral:rRNA from 17 species